UGCACCUGGUGGCGAGUGGCGAACGGAUGAGUAAUACAUCGGAACGUACCUUAUCGUGGGGGAUAACGCAGCGAAAGCUGUGCUAAUACCGCAUACGCCCUGAGGGGGAAAGCGGGGGAUCGAAAGACCUCGCGCGAUUAGAGCGGCCGAUGCCUGAUUAGCUUGUUGGUGGGGUAAAAGCCCACCAAGGCGACGAUCAGUAGCUGGUCUGAGAGGACGAUCAGCCACACUGGGACUGAGACACGGCCCAGACUCCUACGGGAGGCAGCAGUGGGGAAUUUUGGACAAUGGGGGAAACCCUGAUCCAGCAAUGCCGCGUGAGUGAAGAAGGCCUUCGGGUUGUAAAGCUCUUUUGUCAGGGAAGAAACACCGGCUCUAACACAGUCCGGGAAUGACGGUACCUGAAGAAUAAGCACCGGCUAACUACGUGCCAGCAGCCGCGGUAAUACGUAGGGUGCAAGCGUUAAUCGGAAUUACUGGGCGUAAAGCGUGCGCAGGCGGUUAUACAAGACAGGCGUGAAAUCCCCGGGCUUAACCUGGGAAUGGCGCCUGUGACUGUAUAGCUAGAGUGUGUCAGAGGGGGGUAGAAUUCCACGUGUAGCAGUGAAAUGCGUAGAUAUGUGGAGGAAUACCAAUGGCGAAGGCAGCCCCCUGGGAUAACACUGACGCUCAUGCACGAAAGCGUGGGGAGCAAACAGGA
rnacentral:rRNA from 1 species